rnacentral:rRNA from 1 species
UACGGAGGGGGCAAGCGUUGUUCGGAAUUACUGGGCGUAAAGGGCGCGUAGGCGGCUUAUCAAGUCAGGCGUGAAAUUCCCGGGCUCAACCUGGGGGCUGCGCUUGAUACUGGGAGGCUUGAAUCCGGGAGAGGAAUGUGGAAUUCCAGGUGUAGCGGUGAAAUGCGUAGAUAUCUGGAGGAACACCGGUGGCGAAGGCGGCAUUCUGGACCGGUAUUGACGCUGAGGCGCGAAAGCCAGGGGAGCAAACGGG